rnacentral:rRNA from 1 species
GUGCUUAACACAUGCAAGUCGAGCGGAAAGGCCACUUCGGUGGUACUCGAGCGGCGAACGGGUGAGUAACACGUGAGUAAUCUGCCCCUGGCUUCGGGAUAGCCACCGGAAACGGUGAUUAAUACCGGAUAUGACAGACCCUCGCAUGGGGGUGUGUGGAAAGUUUUUCGGCCAGGGAUGUGCUCGCGGCCUAUCAGCUUGAUGGUGAGGUAAUGGCUCACCAUGGCUUCGACGGGUAGCCGGCCUGAGAGGGUGACCGGCCACACUGGGACUGAGACACGGCCCAGACUCCUACGGGAGGCAGCAGUGGGGAAUAUUGGACAAUGGGCGGAAGCCUGAUCCAGCAACGCCGCGUGAGGGAUGACGGCCUUCGGGUUGUAAACCUCUUUCAGUACCGACGAAGCGCAAGUGACGGUAGGUACAGAAGAAGCACCGGCCAACUACGUGCCAGCAGCCGCGGUAAUACGUAGGGUGCGAGCGUUGUCCGGAAUUAUUGGGCGUAAAGGGCUCGUAGGCGGUUUGUCGCGUCGGGAGUGAAAACGCCGUGCUUAACACGGCGCUUGCUUCCGAUACGGGCAGACUAGAGGUAUUCAGGGGAGAACGGAAUUCCUGGUGUAGCGGUGAAAUGCGCAGAUAUCAGGAGGAACACCGGUGGCGAGCGGUUCUCUGGGAAUGACCUGACGCUG